CGGGUGCACUGAUCCAGCCGGGCCUUUCCCUCUGUGGAACCCCAUGGCCUUCACUGGCUGUGGCGGGGAAACAGGACUUUUACUUUGAAAAAAUUAGAGUGCUCCAGGCAGGCCUAUGCUCGAAUACAUUAGCAUGGAAUAAUAGAAUAGGACGUGUGGUUCUAUUUUGUUGGUUUCUAGGACCGCCGUAAUGAUUAAUAGGGACAGUCGGGGGCAUCAGUAUUCAAUUGUCAGAGGUGAAAUUCUUGGAUCUAUUGAAGACUAACUACUGCGAAAGCAUUUGCCAAGGGUGUUUUCAUUGAUAAGGAACGAAAGUUAGGGGAUCGAAGACGAUCAGAUACCGUCGUAGUCUUAACUAUAAACUAUGCCGACUAGGGAUCGGACGAUGUUAUUCUUUGACGCGUUCGGCACCUUUCGAGAAAUCAAAGUGCUUGGGCUCCAGGGGGAGUAUGGUCGCAAGGCUGAAACUUAAAGAAAUUGACGGAAGGGCACCACCAGGGGUGGAACCUGCGGCUUAAUUUGACUCAACACGGGGAAACUCACCAGGUCCAGACACAGUGAGGAUUGACAGAUUGAGAGCUCUUUCUUGAUUCUGUGGGUGGUGGUGCAUGGCCGUUCUUAGUUGGUGGAGUGAUUUGUCUGCUUAAUUGCGAUAACGAACGAGACCUUAACCUGCUAAAUAGCCCGUACUGCUUUGGCAGUUCGCCGGCUUCUUAGAGGGACUAUCGG
rnacentral:rRNA from 1 species